AUAUGAAUUUUUCCCAUCUUAUUUUGGACUGUGUGGCACCCUCCUCUGCGAAGAAGCCCAAAAGUCUUGGACCAGAUUUCCCUUACAAAAUUGGGCAGUGCUGAGAGCGUACAGGGUUCUCAAAAAAAAGUGGGGUCGAUAUUUUUUUCUUCAUUUUUUAUUGCAUCGGGCCCCACGUGAGACCGACCCCUCACAUGGGAAUCGGUUAGACCUCUGUGAAAAAAACUCCGUACACAGAACUUUAUCCUACAAAAUUUCUCUCUCUCUCUCUGUAUGUGCUACCACAUCCAUCCAUCCAUCCAUCCCAUCACAGCUCCACUGACGUUGUCUUCCCACUCCAACCUUCACCCAAUCCCAAACCCACCAGCUCCAGACCUAUUAUCCAGUUUUGCUAUAAUUGAUUGUGCCGUGCCCCUUGGACAAUCCCCUGAAUUAGGGAGGUUCCACACGGUCCUCUGGUUAUCCAAGGAGAUUGUUCAAAGGGCUUUAAUCUAAUUGAUUUUGUCUCCUCAACAUAGUGGCCAAGUUUUGGGUGGAUUUCGGCUGCGGCGUUUUCGCUCCUUUUGAAAUGCCUCUUUAAAAUACUCAAAUCACUUCCUAUUGUAAGACCAUAAAUACCGUCUCAAAAAUAUAAAAAUAAAAAUUCUGUAUCGUUUGAUCUUAGGGAAAGGUAUUCUCUUAUUUUUCUUCGUUUUUUUCCCAUUUACAAGAUAAUCUACGGGAUUUAAAUUUUAAGGUUUCUAUUGCUUUGUAUGAUCUGCACUUCUAGGUUCCAGUUUCAAUUCGAACUUUCCUUCGA
rnacentral:lncRNA from 1 species